AAUUAUUGGACCCAAACAAUUAAAUUAAUCAACUCAACAUGACUCUGACUCAACCAAAUUAAAUAAUAAGCAACCAACAAAUUAAAUAAUAAGCAUUACACAACUAGGCCCCAAGUGCACAUGACAUUGCCCCCCUCAUUAAAUGACCUUGUCCACAAGGUCUGGAAAUUCAUUGACUAAGGUAGAAUAUUCCACCCAAGAUGCUUCAUCUUCACCGAGCCCCUUCCAUUUCACCAGUACUUCGGUCACCGCAUGAUUUUUUUUCUUCUUCAACCUCCUGUGCAAUAUUUCUUCUGGUUCUGGUCGAAUAACUCCAUCCUUGUCUGCUGGUGGAAGAGUAACAACCAGCUGGUGCCUUUCUCCCAACUUCUCCUUUAAGCAAGAUACGUGAAACACCGGAUGUAUUUUUGCCUCAAGAGGAAGCUCAAGCCGAUAAGCAACAGUACCGAUCUUCUCCAGCACUCUAUAUGGACCAUAGAAUCUUGGAGAUAAUUUCAAAUUCCUUCUUUGCACCACCGAUUGCUGCUUGUAUGGUUGUAAGCGAAGGUAAACCAAAUCCCCAAUGUUGAAACUUCUCGCAGUCCUCUUAAUAUCUGCAAAUUUUUUCAUUCUAUCUUGUGCCAACUGCAAAUUUGUACGAAGGAUGCGGAUGAUUUCAUCUCUGGUCUUCAAAGUAUUUUCUACUUCUUGGAGUUGUGUGGUUCCUGGCGUAUAAGGAAUUAAUUUUGGGGGUGGGUAGCCAUAGACAGAUUCAAAAGGGGAUAAUUUGGUAGAUGCAUGAAUGUUAGUGUUGUACCACCACUCAGCCAACGGAAGCCAUUUAACCCAUCCCUUUGGCUUGUCCCCCGAGAAACACCUAAGAUAUUGCUCAACCAUCUUGUUGACAAUCUCUGUCUGGCCAUCCGUUUGAGGAUGGUAAGCUGAUGAAAAUUUCAAAGUGGUUCCCUGCAGCUUAAAGAGCUCCUUCCAAAAUGUACUCGUAAAAGUAGGAUCUCUAUCAGUAACAAUGGAAUUAGGCAGCCCAUGUAAUUUAAAAAUAUUGGCUAGGAACACCUGAGCAAUCUUUGAGGCAGUGUACGGAUGAGAAAUAGGAAUAAAGUGAGCAUACUUAGACAGCCGAUCCACGACCACCAUAAUAACACUGUAGCUUUCAGAGUUCGGUAAUCCUUCAAUAAAAUCAAGGGAAAUAUCAGUCCAUACCUUAGUAGGAAUUGGCAAUGGUUGCAGCAAUCCAGCCGGGUGGAUAUUCUCAGACUUGUUUUGCUGACAUAUAUCACAUUCCUUGAUAAACCUUCUGACCUCCUUCCUCAUUCCUUCCCAAUAAAAUUCAGACUUAGCUCUAUGGAGAGUCUUGUGAAAUCCUGAGUGUCCUCCUUGUGGGCUACUGUGCAGCAAAUAAAGAAUUUGUUCUCUCAACUCCUUUGAAGCUGGAAUAUACAAUCUUCCUUUGUAAAAUAAUAAUCCAUCCCUUUGUUUAUAAUUUUGGGAUGCAAGACUUCCUUGUUCCAAAUUUUUAAUAAUCUGCUGCAAUUUAGGAUCUAUAGCAUAACUGGUUCGGAGUUGUUCUAGCCAAGUGUUAGCUGGUGCAGUAAUAGCAUAUAGCUUUCCUUCCUUCUGAUCUUCCAUUUUUCUGGACAAGGCAUCAGCAACCUUGUUUUCCUUUCCUUGUUUGUAUUCUACCACAAACUCAUAUCCCAAAAGUUUGGUAAUCCAUUGUUGCUGAAGAGGAGUACCCAUCUUUUGUUCCAGCAAGUAAUUGAGACUCUGCUGGUCCGUUUGUAUCUUAAAGUUGUGUCCUAAAAGAUAAGACCUCCAUUUCUUCACUGCUAAGACCAAUGCCAUCAACUCCUUCUCGUAGGUAGAUAGUUGCAAGGCUUUUCCAUGAAUUGCUUGACUCAUGUAUGCUAAGGGCCUGCCCUGUUGCAUUAAUACAGCUCCAACACCAAUACCAGAAGCAUCACAUUGAAUAGUAAAAGGAAUAGAAAAAUCUGGUAAAGCUAAGACAGGAGGGCUAGUUACAGCAUGUUUAAGAUCUUGAAAAGCCCUUUUUGCGGAUUCGGUCCAUUUGAAGGAAUUCUUUUUCAAAAGGGCUGUUAAGGGGGCUGCUAUAAGUCCAUAUCCUUUGAUAAAUUUUCUGUAAUAUCCAGUUAAACCUAGGAAGCCUCUAAGGGAUUUAAGGCUGGUAGGAAAGGGCCAGUUAAGCAUUGCUUCAAUUUUGGUAGGAUCAGCUUGUACCCCAUCUUUUGAGAUUAGAUGACCAAGAUACUCAAUUUCAGAACAUCCAAAACAACACUUAGAUUUUUUUGCAAAAAGCUGGUGCUGUUUUAAAAUGUCUAAAACAGUUUGUAAAUGAUGGACAUGGUCAGCAAGGUUUUUACUAUAGACAAGAAUGUCAUCAAAAAAAACCAAUAUAAACUUUCGUAAAUAAGGUUUAAAGAUGUCAUUCAUAAGACUUUGGAAGGUUGACGGGGCAUUGGUAAGCCCGAAAGGCAUUACCAAGAAUUCAUAGUGGCCUUCAUGGGUACGGAAGGCUGUUUUAGGUAUAUCCUCUGGGUGGACCCUAAUUUGGUGAUAUCCCGACCUUAAAUCUAGCUUACUAAAGAUGGUUGAUCCAUGAAGUUCAUCAAGAAGUUCGUCAACUAUAGGUAUAGGAAAUUUAACCUUAAUGGUUUCUUUGUUAAGGGCUCUAUAGUCAACACAAAGCCUCCAACUUCCAUCAUGUUUUCUUACUAAUAAGACCGGGGAUGAGAAUGGACUUUGGCUAGGUCGAACAAUACCAGAUUGUAACAUUUCAUGAACUAUGUUUUCAAUUUCAGAUUUUUGAAAGUAAGGGUAUCUAUAAGGCCCUACACAAACUGGUUUUGCACCUGAAUGUAAUACAAUAUGGUGGUCAUGAUUUCGAGUAGGGGGCAAUCCUUUGGGUUCUGAAAACACUUCUGGAUAUAGGUUAAGAAGGUCAUAUAUUAGUGGCUCAGCAGAAGUUUCAAUGGACAGCAAACUGGAAUUUUCAAAAUCAAUAAGCUGAAUAACUAGUCCUCUUUUAUUUUGCCUAGAAACUUUACCAAAUUUUUCUCCUUCUACUAAUGAGAUACCAGUUGGUGACAUACCUUGUAGUUUUCGAGGUUUGUCCUAAACUGAGAACUCCAUUUGAAGUCUUGAGAAAUCCCAAAGGAUAGGUCCCAAGGUUUGAAGCCAUUGAACACCCAGAACAAUAUCACAUCCUCCUAGGGUCAAAAUGUAAAAAUCAAUGGUAUAGAGAUUACCCUGCAUAUGUAGAGGUACUGCUGCACAACUCCCCUCACUACGAACUGCUUGCCCAUUAGCCACUUUGACAGAGAGCCCUUCUGUUGGAUUAGAUGGUAGGUGAGCCCUUUGAAUAACAGAUGGGUCCAUGAAAUUGUGUGUACUUCCCGUAUCAACCAAGAUUACUACUGCCCUUCCACAAAUGUGCCCCAAGAAUCUCAUUGUUUUUGGGUUUGGUGACCCAACUAAUGCAUGGAUAGAUAUUCCGGGUUCUAUCUCCACUAUAGGCGUUUCCUCCUUAGACUUGCUCGCACGCCCUUCUGCAACUUCAGAUUUGGGCACCUCAUCAUCACUUGAUUCAUCACACUCCAUGAUAAACAGUCGGGCUGAUUUGCACUUAUGCCCCGGGGCCCAUUUGUCAUCACAAUUAUAACAAAGUCCCUUAUCCCGUCGCUCCUUCAUUUGGCUAGGUGAUAAUCUUUGGACCGAAACAAUGGCCCUUUUUUCAGGUGGGCUCGGAGGCCCAAUAGCCAAACGUGUAGGAACUGAUCCUAGCUUUGCAGUUCUUCUAAGAGCAGCCAUAUUCUCUUCUUGCAUUUUUGCUAAACCAAAAGCAAUAUGUAAAUUUGAAGGAUUAAGCAUACGUACCAUAAACCGAAUAUCUUCCCGCAACCCACUUAGGAAACAACUGAGUUUGUAAGACUCAGCCAGUCCUCUAAGUUGGUUUGAAAGAGCCUCAAAUUGGCUCUUAUAAUCUUCCACUGUUGAAGUUUGCUUUAACCGAAUAAGAGCUUCCAUGGGGUCUUCAUAAGGUGAUGAUCCAAACCUUGUCUGAAGUGCACGUACAAAUCCCUCCCAACUACUAAUUCCCCCUGCAGCUUCAAUGUCCUGGAACCAAAACAAGGCCUUCCCUUCCAUAUGGAAGGAUGCCAAUAGGACUCUGUGAUGUGGAUUGGUUUGAUGGUAAUUGAAAAAUUGAUCAGCUCGAUAGACCCACCCACUGGGGUCUUCUCCAUUAAAUUUAGGAAAAUCCAACCGUACUGCACGAGUCUGAAUUCCCCCAUUAUCUUCAAAAAGAGGGUUAGUCAUCUGUCGUUUAGACCCUUCUGAAUCACCUGAAUUAUGCUUAGUCUUCAUUUGCACUAAUGUCUGCACAUUGGAGGCAACCACUUCUAAUUGAUGGGCCAGCCCUUCAACCACUUGUUGCAAAGAAUUAUGAUUUUGCUGAUACUGCUCUUGAUUUUGUUUGACAGCUGCCAAAGAUUCAGCAAGCUGGGAAUAUCUGGUACCUGUACCCUCAGCCAUUGGAACGACCUGGCUCUGAUACCAAUGUCACGUUCAAGCUUAAGAAAGUGUUGGAUUAAUUCGAGGAAAUCCAC
rnacentral:lncRNA from 1 species